AGCGAACGUUAGCGGCGGGCCUAACACAUGCAAGUCGAGCGGGAAAGCGGCUUCGGCCGUUAGUAAAGCGGCGGACGGGUGAGUAACACGUGGAUAAUCUGCCCUUCAGCGGGGGAUAACUGUCCGAAAGGAUAGCUAAUACCGCGUACGUCGGCGAGGACCUCGGUUCUUGUCGGGAAAGCAGCCCUCUUCAUGAAAGGUUGCACUGAAGGAUGAGUCCGCGUCCCAUCAGCUAGUUGGUAAGGUAAUGGCUCACCAAGGCUUAGACGGGUAGCGGGUCUGAGAGGAUGAUCAGCCACACUGGAACUGAGACACGGUCCAGACUCCUACGGGAGGCAGCAGUGGGGAAUAUUGGGCAAUGGGCGCAAGCCUGACCCAGCCACGCCGCGUGAGUGAUGAAGGCCUUCGGGUCGUAAAGCUCUGUGGGGAGCGACGAAAAAACGCUGGCUAACAUCCAGCGGACUGACGGUAGCUCCUUAGCAAGCACCGGCUAACUCUGUGCCAGCCGCCGCCGUAAAAC
rnacentral:rRNA from 1 species